rnacentral:rRNA from 1 species
AGUGAACGCUGGCGGUAGGCCUAACACAUGCAAGUCGAACGGCAGCACAGUAAGAGCUUGCUCUUACGGGUGGCGAGUGGCGGACGGGUGAGGAAUACAUCGGAAUCUACUUUUUCGUGGGGGAUAACGUAGGGAAACUUACGCUAAUACCGCAUACGACCUACGGGUGAAAGCAGGGGAUCUUCGGACCUUGCGCGAUUGAAUGAGCCGAUGUCGGAUUAGCUAGUUGGCGGGGUAAAGGCCCACCAAGGCGACGAUCCGUAGCUGGUCUGAGAGGAUGAUCGGCCACACUGGAACUGAGACACGGUCCAGACUACUACGGGAGGCAGCAGUGGGGAAUAUUAGACAAUGGGCGCAAGCCUGAUCCAGCCAUACCGCGUGGGUGAAGAAGGCCUUCGGGUUGUAAAGCCCUUUUGUUGGGAAAGAAAAGCAGCAGGUUAAUACCCCGCUGUUCUGACGGUACCCAAAGAAUAAGCACCGGCUAACUUCGUG